GCUGAAAAGUGGUGAAGGGCAUUUUCAGCAGGCUCUGUGCCUGACAGAUCUUUUUUUCCCUGCUACCUACCUCCUCUCCCAUUACUGUCCCGCCUACAUCCAUCUCUCUCUGUCUCUCUCCAGUUUCCACUUCCAACCUGCUUGGAAGAGGAAAGUCAAUGCGAGGGUUGUUACGGUGAAAUCCCAGAGCCACCGUUUCGUUUUCCACCUAGAGGACCACGGCUCCAUCUCCGAGCCCCGCACUCACAACUGUGAACUCAACCCACGAAAUUGCGAUUGCAGACCAACUUCGUCCCUUCCGAGGGCCCUGCCUUCAGACUGAAGGCAGAAGAGGGGCUUCGGCCAACAAGCGGAGAGCACAGCGUGCCCCUAAAGGCUUCAUGCC